AACGAACGCUGGCGGCAUGCCUAACACAUGCAAGUCGAACGAGACCUUCGGGUCUAGUGGCGCACGGGUGCGUAACGCGUGGGAACCUGCCUUUAGGUUCGGAAUAACUCAGAGAAAUUUGGGCUAAUACCGGAUGAUGUCUUCGGACCAAAGAUUUAUCGCCUUUAGAUGGGCCCGCGUUGGAUUAGCUAGUUGGUGGGGUAAAGGCCUACCAAGGCGACGAUCCAUAGCUGGUCUGAGAGGAUGAUCAGCCACACUGGGACUGAGACACGGCCCAGACUCCUACGGGAGGCAGCAGUGGGGAAUAUUGGACAAUGGGCGAAAGCCUGAUCCAGCAAUGCCGCGUGAGUGAUGAAGGCCUUAGGGUUGUAAAGCUCUUUUACCCGAGAUGAUAAUGACAGUAGCGGGAGAAUAAGCUCCGGCUAACUCCGUG
rnacentral:rRNA from 1 species